UGUAGUACCAACUGAAGUGCCGACUGGAC
rnacentral:piRNA from 1 species